rnacentral:rRNA from 1 species
UCGAGGAUCAUUCGCAAUGGGCGAAAGCCUGACGAUGCGACGCUGCGUGGAGGAUGAAGGCCCUCGGGUUGUAAACUCCUGUCAUGAGGGAAGAGGAGAGUGUCACUAACAUUGACGCGAUUUGACGGUACCUCAAGAGGAAGCCACGGCUAACUCUGUGCCAGCAGCCGCGGUAAUACAGAGGUGGCGAGCGUUGUUCGGAUUUACUGGGCGUAAAGGGCGCGUAGGCGGCCGUGUGUGUCGGGUGUGAAAUCCCAGGGCUCAACCCUGGAAGUGCGCCCGAAACUGCACGGCUCGAGUGCGGGAGGGGAGAUCGGAAUGCAGGGUGUAGCGGUGAAAUGCGUUGAUAUCCUGCAGAACACCGGUGGCGAAGGCGGAUCUCUGGAACGCAACUGACGCUGAGGCGCGAAAGUCGGGGGAGCAAACA